CACGUAGGGCGCAAGCGUUGUCCGGAAUUAUUGGGCGUAAAGAGCUCGUAGGCGGCUCGUCGCGUCGACCGUGAAAACCCACAGCUUAACUGUGGGCUUGCGGUUGAUACGGGCGGGCUAGAGUUCGGUAGGGGAGACUGGAAUUCCUGGUGUAGCGGUGAAAUGCGCAGAUAUCAGGAGGAACACCAAUAGCGAAGGCAGCUCGCUGGGACGGUACUGACGCUAAGGCGCGAAAGCGUGGGGAGCGAACAGG
rnacentral:rRNA from 1 species